UAUAAUGUUUUUGUUCAUAUCAUAAAGAACAAACUAUAAUUUACGUAAAGAUUUACAAGAUACAACUGAAAAAACAGCACAACGUCUCUGAGCUUGACAUCAACGUUCAUCACCUGCGUGCGGCAUCACCGCAACAACCAUCGAAGAAAGAAAUGACGAAUUAACUCGUCAUUCAAGCUCAAGGUGGCUCCGUCGCUAAUAUGCAGAUUUACAGGCCUUCAAGGUGGCUCAUCAAAAGUAAAGUCAUUACCGUUGAACGAAUUAAGUUGGGGCAACACCCUUGACACGUCAUCCAACUUCAGAUGUGUCACCCCACCACGACUAAGACAUCGAAAGAG
rnacentral:lncRNA from 1 species